AUAACUAAGUUUUAACAAAAGAUGGGUUCCAAGGUAUUUCUGUUUCUUGGCCUUUGUUUGGCCAUUUUUCUAAUGAUAAGCUCUGAGGUUUUAGCUAGGGAGUUGGCUGAGACUUCCACCAUUUCAGAAGAGGGCUCGAAGAAACCCAAUAACAAGAAUGAAGUACAUGAAGCUCAAUACAGUUAUGUAGGAUACCCUGCCCCCGGAUACCCCGUUAGCCGAAACCCUGGCGGCGGAAUCCCCCCUUAGUGGUGGCGGACAUCCUGACGGCGACCGUGGUGGUGGUGGAUACCCCCGUGGGGGACAUGGUGGUGGUGGCUAUCCUGGCAGUGGACGUGGUGGUGGUGGACGCGGUGGUGGUGGAGGAUACUGCCGCUAUGGUUGCUGCGGCCGCCGGAAUUACAAUGGUUGCAGCAGGUGCUGCUCCUACAAAGGUGAGGCCAUCCAUGGAUAAUUAGGUCACUAUAUUGAAGCUAAGCCUCACAACUUAUCAUCAUGUGGAGCAAUAUAUAAAACUUUUGUACUUAGUAAAGCCUCAAGAUGUAAUAGUAAUAAUCUUGCAGCUUUUUAGAGCUUGUUGUAACAAGUUAUGAAUAAAAUUAAGUCAUCAUUUAAUA